rnacentral:rRNA from 1 species
UACGUAGGGGGCUAGCGUUGUCCGGAUUUAUUGGGCGUAAAAGAGCGUGUAGGCGGCCAGGUAGGUCUGCUGUGAAAAACUCGAGGCUCAACCUCGAGAUGUCGGCGGGAAACCAUCUGGCUAGAGUCCGGAAGAGGAGAGUGGAAUUCCUGGUGUAGCGGUGAAAUGCGCAGAUAUCAGGAAGAACACCCGUGGCGAAGGCGGCUCU